AUCAACCUGUCAAGGAAAUCAACAAAAUCUUCCGUCUACAUCUUGCUUUACCCUUUGCUAACCCUUUGAAACUGUGAGGAAUAGUACAAAUAUGUUAUCAGUUCUGAAUCCACCCAACAGACUCAUUUACCGUUUGUCUAUCUCUGUUUAUUGUAAACAUGCAUUAAUCGAUACUCAUAACUUCAGCACUCUGAAAUGUUAGACAACCCCAGUAAUCAUUACCCUGAGAAUUAACCGGCACAUCAAUUAUCAGGCCUCCUUAAGUAGCGAAUGAUUCCAUCUGCUCUUUAGCAACAUACUCUGCGGUAGCACCAAGAAUUCCUUCUUCCACAAAUACCUGGACCAGGAAGCAUUCUACUGCAUCCCAAAAUAGUUGCUGUGCCUUUGGCUUCUGAGCUGAAGACAGCUGAGGGGGGAGGAGCAGGCACCAAGUUGCUGCCGCUUUCCUCUACCUCAGACCUACAAGGGCCUGUCUCAGUGCUCAUCUUGGUGAACCCUGAUGGCUCUCUGGAUCAGGAGCCCACACUUGGGACCAGUGGAGCAAAGAUGGCUUCUGAGCUUCCUGUGCUACAAAAUGCCAUGCAGUGGCUGAGUAGCCUCCUCUUCAUGGAUGCACUCUUCUCCCCUCCCUUCCACAUCCUUGCCCUUGUUUAGUCUCAGAUUCCAUUAGAAAUGCUAUUUGGGCAGCAAAUUUCACAGAUUGGAUCCAUCUCAAUGCUGUCAUGCAAAGAAAACACAUCUGUCUGACUCUUCAUUUAAAAUAAGGGAAAAAAUUGAAAUAGCAAAAUGCUGUAGUCGCUCUGAGCUGUCUCCUAAUGAACCUGUUUGUCCCAUGAGCUGUAGUGAGGAGCCUCUCCUCGGGAAGAAUUCUUUGUGCAUAUUAAUAUUAUGCAUGUUUUCCAUGUGACUCCUUCUCACUUGCCCUCACCCCAUCCUUUGAAUUCAUUUAAAUAAAAAUAAUUUAUGUGGACAUUCCUUCGGUCAGGAUUUUCUCCUUCUCUUUCUUAAAGACAUCCAUAACAUUCAGUUGAUGCUUUGCAUCUAAACCAAAUCGUUAUGCCUUUGCAUGUCAUUAGAGCUUUAUAAAGAACAACAGCGACAUCUGCAUGUGCCGUGGUGCCAAGAGAUAGAAAAAAAAUACCGAAAACAAAACUCCACACUGGCUUGGAGGCUGUCUGGCUCUUUCUCCCCAGCAGCCCCUGCCACCACCAUGGCUAGGAGUAAUUGUACAGUGCAAUCACAUCACGCCUCAUCUGAAUAUUCAUAGCAGAAACAAAGCUUUGGAGGAUAAGGGAGGAGCGGGGAUAAUUUAAAUAUAAACCAGCAUCUCAUUUCCAAAUCAAGUUGUGCAGUUACACUGUGCACCAGGAUUCAAUAUUAAACCAACAUUGUUUCAUAGUUUGAAAAUUGGAAGUGAAGAAGAAAGAAGAGAGAGGGGCUCAGUAAAGAAAGGGUGGCAAUACAUUCUCAUUCCUGACUGAGGAAAAACAAGAAAGACAGCACGAGAAUAAAAAUCGUUAAAGUGGUAUUUGAAGAGUCACCAACAGUGGCUAACCAGCUGCUGUUUUACCAAGAAUAAAAUAGCCUAUUGAGGGAACUUUAAAAGCCCUCAAUUAAUAUGUUGUGCAUGUAUGCGAUCUACAAAGAACUCACUGUCUCCCCACCCCCGGUAGAUGCCCCCAAUACUCACAUAGUCCCUAACCACCACCUUUCCUUUCUGUCAGGUGCAGGGGAAGGAUCAGAGCUAUGAAAUAAUUAAUUAACCACUUCAAAAGUGACAACACCCAUCUUCACAAUUAAAGGAUAAAAACAAACACAUACAAAAGGUGACUUCAUUAAUGAGGGGAUAAAUUACCGAUGGCUUCUUCAUUCUCUUUAGUUCAUUACCCCCCAAAUGAAACAGAUAUAAUCCACAUGUUAACAUUUCUUGUCUUCUUUCUUUGUUUUUAGUAUGAUGCUCUUUAUUAUAUUUUAAGUGUUGGUAUUUGUAGAAGCCUCUGCCACUGCAUUCCCCAAAGAGCUACUAGUUUCAGCCCACCGGAGUUUAUAUUCCUUUAAUUGUCUAGUGCAGGGACAUUGCUGCUGUUUUUAAAAAUAUACCGCUCUGCAGGAAUUAGAAGAAUCCAAGGUUGUAUCCAAACUUCAAAGGUUUCCAAGUCAUAAUGAUUUUAGCAAAAGCAGAAGACACAUCAUGGAACAAGCCCCUGUUUGAAGAUAAGCAUCAUAGGGAUCUUUUUUUUUCCUUCCCUGUCUCCCCAACUUUGUACUUCUCCUGGCUCUGAGUGCCCCCUUGCUAACAUGGCUUAAUGAUAUGCAAAUGAAAUAUGCAUAAAACCAUUCUACUGUAUGAUGAUUAAACACUGGAGACAUUAACAGCGGAGGCUUCACUCUGUAAUAAUCCUUCCCGACCAUCCACUUUGAUUGCGGAGUUAUGGAAACCCAUAGCAGUUGGCAGAGAGAGUGAAAGAGAGAAGGAAGGAAAGAUGCGGGGGCACAUCGCCCAUCUCGGUGCUUCUCCCACUCCAGAAGAGCCCCCCCAACCUUCGUACUGCACUCCUAUUGCUGUCUUUUGUAAUCCAUCCAUGCAGUCGCACCAGAGCGAUUAACGGGGGGAAAAAAACCAAAACCUUUUCUCUUAGUGUUUCAAAGCUCAUUAGCCAAACGAUUAUUCCUCAUUAACAGCCAAAGCACAUUCAUUAAAAGGAAGAAUAUGCCCAAAAGAUGCCAGCGCGGUUAAUCCUGAGUCCCGUAACUGGUCUGUAAAUCCCACACUACUUGUAUAUUCCAUGCGAAAGGGGCACGCGCCAAUCCACAAUUAAAAAAAAAAAAAAAAAAAGGAACAAAAAUGAAAACAGUUUGUGUGUUUUGUAAAAUCCACAAGAGCAGCAAUUAAUAUUCCCAUUGAAUGACUUUAUUUUUUUUUGUCUCCCUUUUGUUUCCAGCGCCUGCCCCUGGCUCAGCGCCCAGUGCCAACAGAACACCUUCAGGAUUCACAGCAACGCAGAAACCAUGUCCAGGAUCCCGGCCUCUGCUUGAAACGGAACAGUGUCAUGGCGGAGACAACGGCCUUUGUCUUGCUGGGUGUGAAAACAUCCGCUGUGCUGGCUCCACUGCGGCAGAAUCAAGUUUAAAUGAAAAAAGUGAUUAAAGUCAGCUUUGUGCUUCUUUGGUGUGGAAGACCCCCAAACCCCAAGUAGCCGACUCCCAGGGUCCAAGGAAGGGCUCAUAGUUGGAGCAGCCUGGGCUGUAAUCCUGGCACUUGCGCCUUGCGUUGCUGCUUGCUGUUCGCUCCUGGGGGUCUGGAUAAUCUCCCUUGGUUUUACCGCACUGUCUGGCCCGCAUACAGGGCCCGGUAACAUAUACCCGCUGCUGCUAUCACACGAAACUGUG
rnacentral:lncRNA from 1 species